rnacentral:lncRNA from 1 species
AUGAGUCAGUGUGUUCAGGUCAACUGUCUUUCUGGUUUGUCUGACAAAACAUUACAGAUUGUCUGGUGUGAGUGCUGUACCACUGACAAGACUUUACAGAUUGUCUGGUGUGAGUGCUGUACCACUGACAAGACUUUACAGAUUGUCUGGUGUGAGUGCUGUACCACUGACAAGACUUUACAGAUUGUCUGGUGUGAGUGCUGUACCACUGACUUCUCAUGCUGAAUCUAAUGCUGUCUAACUAUGAGAGAAGUGUUACAAGAGAAGUGUUACAUUACUGCAACAGAAAAUAAAGAAUAUAUAUAUAUAUAUAUAUAUUUAUACAGUACCAGUCAAAAGUUUGGACACACCUACUCAUUCCAGGGUUUUUCUUUAUUUGUACUAUUUUAUACAUUUUAGAAUAAUAGUGAAGACAUCAAAACUAUGAAAUAACACAUGGAAUCAUGUAGGAACCAAAAAGGUGUUAAACAAAUCAAAAUAUAUGUUAUAUUUUACACUCUUCAGAGUAGCCACCCUUUGCCUUGAUGACAGCUUUGUACACUCGUGGCAUUCUCUCAACCAGCUUCAACUGGAAUGCUUUUCCAACAGUCUUGAAGGAGUUCCCACUUGUUGCUGAGCACUUGUUGGUUUGUUUUCCUUCACUCUGCGAUCCAUCUCGUCCCAAAACAUCUCAAUUGGGUUGAGGUCGGGUGAUUGUGGAGGCAAGGUCAUCUGAUACAGCACUCCAUCACUCUCCUUCUUGGUCAAAUAGCCCUUACACAGCCUAGAGGUGUGUUUUGGGUCAUUUUCCUGUUGAAAAACAAACAAUAGUCCCACUAAGCACAAAACAGAUGGGGUGGCGUAUCGCUGCAGAAUGCUGUGGUAGCCAUGCUGGUUGAGUGUGCCUUCAAUUCUAAAUUGAAGCAGAGGUAACUUUGGGUCUUCCUACCCUUUGCGGUCCUCAUGAGAGACAGUUUUGUCAUAGCUCUUGACGGUUUCUGAAACUACACUUGAAGAAAUUUUCAAAGUUCUUGAAAUGUUUACAAAUUAACUGACCUUCAUGUCUUAAAAGUAUUGAUAGACUAUUGUUUAUCUUUGCUUAUCUGAGCUGUUCUUGCCAUAAUAUAGACUUGGUCUUUUACCAAAUUGGGCUAUUUUCUGUAUACCACCCUCUAUCUUGUCACAACACAAUGCAUUAAGAAGGAAAACAUUUCCACAAAUUAACUUUUAACAAGGCACACCUGUUAAUUGAAAUGCAUUCCAGGUGCCAUGAUUCUGGUUAAGAGAAUGCUAUGACUGUGCAAAGCUGUCAUCAAGGCAAAGAGUGGCUACUUUGAAGAAUGUGAAAUAUAAAAUAUAUUUUGAUUUGUUUAACACUUUUAUGGUUACUACAUGAUUCCAUAUGUGUUAUUUCAUAGUUUUGAUGUCUUCACUAUUAUUAUACAAUGUAGAAAAUAGUAAAAAAUCAAGAAAAACCCUUGAAUGAGUAGCUGUGUCCAAACUUUUGACUGAUACUGUAUAUUGUCCAGAUUAUUUAUAUUUCGUGGGUGCCAGAGUUGCCCUCCGCUGGUGACCAGCAUUCUACCAUGUGAUCAUGUGAUCAUUAAACAUUGUCUCGUAAUGAUGACCUCGUGGUUUUGGUUGGUUUUUCAUGUCAAGUGCAUUUUUGCAAUAAAUGCCUUUGUUUUAAUACAACCUGUCUCGCCUCGUGCCUGUUGACAAACAUGCUAUCUCACUACUGCCUCCUCUCCAUCACUUCCUUCCUCCCUCUCUCUGUCCCGG